rnacentral:rRNA from 1 species
AGCGCAAGCAGCUUGCUGCUUUGCUGACGAGUGGCGGACGGGUGAGUAAUGUCUGGGAAACUGCCUGAUGGAGGGGGAUAACUACUGGAAACGGUAGCUAAUACCGCAUAACGUCGCAAGACCAAAGAGGGGGACCUUCGGGCCUCUUGCCAUCAGAUGUGCCCAGAUGGGAUUAGCUAGUAGGUGGGGUAACGGCUCACCUAGGCGACGAUCCCUAGCUGGUCUGAGAGGAUGACCAGCCACACUGGAACUGAGACACGGUCCAGACUCCUACGGGAGGCAGCAGUGGGGAAUAUUGCACAAUGGGCGCAAGCCUGAUGCAGCCAUGCCGCGUGUAUGAAGAAGGCCUUCGGGUUGUAAAGUACUUUCAGCGGGGAGGAAGGCGAUGCGGUUAAUAACCGCGUCGAUUGACGUUACCCGCAGAAGAAGCACCGGCUAACUCCGUGCCAGCAGCCGCGGUAAUACGGAGGGUGCAAGCGUUAAUCGGAAUUACUGGGCGUAAAGCGCACGCAGGCGGUCUGUCAAGUCGGAUGUGAAAUCCCCGGGCUCAACCUGGGAACUGCAUCCGAAACUGGCAGGCUUGAGUCUCGUAGAGGGGGGUAGAAUUCCAGGUGUAGCGGUGAAAUGCGUAGAGAUCUGGAGGAAUACCGGUGGCGAAGGCGGCCCCCUGGACGAAGACUGACGCUCAGGUGCGAAAGCGUGGGGAGCAAACAGGAUUAGAUACCCCUGGUAGUCCACGCCGUAAACGAUGUCGACUUUGGAGGUUGUGCCCUUGAGGCGUGGCUUCCGGAGCUAACGCGUUAAGUCGACCGCCUGGGGGAGUACGGCCGCAAGGUUAAAACUCAAAUGAAAUUGACGGGGGCCCGCACAAGCGGUGGAAGCAUGUGGGUUUAAUUCGAUGCAACGCGAAGAACCUUACCUGGUCUUGACAUCCACAGAACUUUCCAAA